UACGUAGGGUGCGAGCGUUAAUCGGAAUUACUGGGCGUAAAGCGUGCGCAGGCGGCGCGUUAAGACAGGUGUGAAAGCCCCGAGCUUAACUUGGGAAUUGCGCUUGUGACUGGCGUGCUGGAGUGUGGCAGAGGGAGGUGGAAUUCCGACGUGUAGCAGUGAAAUGCGUAGAGAUGUGGAGGAACACCGAUGGCGAAGGCAGCCUCCUGGGCCAGCACUGACGCUCAUGCACGAAGCGUGGGAGCAAC
rnacentral:rRNA from 1 species